AGGAUGAACGCUGGCGGCGUGCUUAACACAUGCAAGUCGAACGGUGAAGUGAGGAGCUUGCUCCUUGCGGAUCAGUGGCGAACGGGUGAGUAACACGUGAGUAACCUGCCCUUGACUCUGGGAUAAGCACUGGAAACGGUGUCUAAUACCGGAUACGACCUCCGAAGGCAUCUUCUGGAAGUGGAAAGAAUUUCGGUCAAGGAUGGACUCGCGGCCUAUCAGCUAGUUGGUGAGGUAACGGCCCACCAAGGCGACGACGGGUAGCCGGCCUGAGAGGGUGACCGGCCACACUGGGACUGAGACACGGCCCAGACUCCUACGGGAGGCAGCAGUGGGGAAUAUUGCACAAUGGGCGCAAGCCUGAUGCAGCAACGCCGCGUGAGGGACGACGGCCUUCGGGUUGUAACCUCUUUAGUAGGGAAGAAGCGAAGUGACGGUACCUGCAGAAAAGCACCGGCUAACUACGUGCCAGCAGCCGCGGU
rnacentral:rRNA from 1 species